AAUUAAACAAUGUCACCAAAAUAAUUCACGAAAAUAACAUGCUUCAAAGAAUUAAACACAACAAAUCCGAAUUUAAAAUCAACGAAAUAGGAUACUUACUUGGUUUGAAGAAGAAGCCAUGGUGUAUGCCUUCAAGUUGAAAAAAUCGUGAAUGCUCUCCUUCAAGUUGAAAAAAAUUGAUUCUCAUUCAAUCAUGGGACAAACACAAACAAAGCAAAAAAAAAAAAAAAAGCAUUCCAAUUUACCUUAGGUGUAUGAAAGCCGUGAAUGCUCUCCUCUCUCUCAAAAAUAAACCGAUGCUCUUUCUCCUCUCUCUCUCUUUCUCGGCUCCCUCUCUCUCUCACUCUCUCUCAAAAAAUAAACCGAUGCCGUCUUCCGUGAGUGAAUGCGGCUAGGUUAAAACUUCUAAUUCUUAUACAUGUAAAUGGGCCCCAAUUCAAAUUUCUUGGUCAAACAAGCCUUAAAUUGCCUUGUGAAUUUGAGAUAAAGCCGUGUAUA
rnacentral:lncRNA from 1 species